rnacentral:lncRNA from 1 species
GCUAACCUAAAACUCAUGUUUCUUCCUCUUACACUUGUUGCUCCCCAAACUAUUAUUGUCAAUGAAUGAACGAGACAAACAAUAAAUGGACUCAGUUUUACAUUGGUUCUGUGAAGGGCGGAAGCAUAGAGAAGGAAAAGAAAGAUAUAUGAACAAUAGAAAAGGGGGAAAGAAUAUUUCUGUAUUACUUCCAGAAGGAACUCCAGUGAUGAUUUAGGCAUUACCUAGCAAACGAGGGAAACCACCAAGUCAAAAUUAUGAAUCAUUUGCCUUUUCAACCUUCUGCUCUGCUUGAUUAUCGUUGCUCUCUUCCUGCUGUGUGCUUGGACUCUGUCCCUCCCUCGAAGAUUUUUCUUCAGGUUGGGUGCUUAAAAUCUGUCCGUCAUUCAAAGAUUUGCUGCUGUUUGCUUCCUCGACAGCAUUGGGCUUCCCCUGUUGAAUUAGAAUUUUCCCCUCAACAUUGUUAGUUCAGUGCACAAGUCGAAGUCAUUUUCUUAAGUACUUUACAUACCAUAAAAGCAUAAAGAAAUAACAGAAGAAACAGUGUCUUCUACAGAUAUCACAUUACAUCAGCGAUAAUGGAGUUCUAUAGAUGCUAUACCAUUCGUCCAGAAUACUGUGUCCACCAAAAUGCAUGUAACAAUGACAGAAUGGUUUGUGCUCGAGCAAUGAAGAGAAGAACGCAUAUGACAUGCACAAGUUCAAAAACAUCAUAAUUGUACGGAAAUUGCAGGAAGCAAAAUUACAAACCACCAAGAAACGAAAAAAAAGCACAAAGAUUAGUCAUUUGUACCACCAAAACCUGGAUUAAGGUGUAUCAGACAAGAAAGGAAUUGCAUGAUGCAUAACGUCACUAUGAAAAUAUGUAUUCAUCGAGAGAGCCAUUGCGCAUCUAGAUAAUAUAAGUAUCAUAAAUCAGGUUACCAAUUAGUAAUUUUACCAGUUGACUGCACAGACUAAUAUCAGCAACAUUGUUGCUUCCCAAACUAUUAUUGUCAAUGAAUGUACGAGACAAACAAUAAAUGGACUCAGUUUUACAUUGGUUCUGUGAGGGGCGGAAGCAUAGAGAAGGAAAAGAAAGAUAUAUGAACAAUAGAAAAGGGGGAAAGAAUAUUUCUAUAUUGCUUCCAGAAGGAACUCCAGUGAUGAUUUAGGCAUUACCUAGCAAACGAGGGA